CUGAAUAACUACGCUGAUCGCUUCGGUUUCACACCGGCGACGUAUCCUUCAAGUGUCUGCCUUAUCAACUUUCGAUGGUAGUUUCUACGCCUACCAUGGUUUCGACGGGUAACGGAGAAUUAGGGUUCGACUCCGGAGAGGGAGCCUGAGAAACGGCUACCACUUCUAAGGAAGGCAGCAGGCGCGCAAAUUACCCACUCUCGGCACGAGGAGGUAGUGACGAAAAAUAACGAGAUAACCCGCUUUAGCGAGUUAUCAUCGGAAUGAGUACAAUCUAAAUCCUUUAACGAGGACCUAGCGGAGGGCAAGUCUGGUGCCAGCAGCCGCGGUAAUUCCAGCUCCGCCAGUGUAUAUCUAUGCUGCUGCGGUUAAAAAG
rnacentral:rRNA from 1 species